CCCACUCUCUCAAAUUUUUCUUCUACUUUCUCCAUUAAUUCUUCAUCUUUUGGAGAAGAAUUGAAGCUGCAAUUCAAGAAUUCAUUGAAGAAUCAAGAUUCUACUUGUUUCUACCGUUUGCUUUUGCAAGAAAAGGUGAUAGUUCGCGUUCCCGGUGGGAUAUCAAGAAGAAGUGCAUUUUUGUUGAACUCGAAAGAAAUCGAGGUUGAGCGGCGAUGGGCGGUCGGUGGUGUUGAGAAGAUUGA